AGAGGGAACCCGGUGGGAGUCCGGGACUGUCCCGCAGCGGUGAGCAGGAACGACCGCCGUCAUACGCACUGGUCCUACGACUGGGAAGCGACGGCCACUAGGAGCACCAUCCGGUGCGCGCCUGCGAGUCCGAAGACCU
rnacentral:ncRNA from 2 species